rnacentral:rRNA from 1 species
AGAGUUUGAUCCUGGCUCAGGAUGAACGCUGGCGGCGUGCCUAAUACAUGCAAGUCGAACGGGUGUAGCAAUACACUAGUGGCGAACGGGUGAGUAACACGUUGGUGACCUGCCCUAAAGAGGGGAAUACCACUUCGAAAGGAGUGACAAAACCGCAUAAGCUGAUGCUAGUUAGAGAGGCAUUAGUAAAAGAGCAAUCUACUUUAGGAGGGGCCUGCGGCCCAUCAGCUAGUUGGUGAGGUAAAAGCCCACCAAGGCGAAGACGGGUAGGGGACCUGAGAGGGUGAUCCCCCACAAUGGAACUGAAACACGGUCCAUACACCUGCGGGUGGCAGCAGUAGGGAAUAUUGCUUAAUGGGCGAAAGCCUGAAGCAGCAACGCCGCGUGAACGAAGAAGGCCUUCGGGUCGUAAAGUUCUUUUACGUGGGAUGAGGAAGGACAGUACCACGAGAAUAAGUCUCGGCUAACUACGUGCCAGCAGCCGCGGUAAAACGUAGGAGACGAGCGUUAUCCGGAUUUACUGGGCGUAAAGCGCGUGUAGGAGGCGCUACAAGUUGGAUGUGAAAGCUCCCGGCUUAACUGGGAGAGGUCGUUCAAGACUGUAGAGCUAGAGUGAGGCAGAGGUAGAUGGAACUCCGGGAGUAGUGGUGAAAUGCGUAGAUAUCCGGAAGAACUCCAGAGGCGAAAGCGAUCUACUGGACCUAAACUGACACUGAGACGCGAAAGCCAGGGUAGCAAACGGGAUUAGAGACCCCGGUAGUCCUGGCCGUAAACGAUGUAGACUGAGCGUUGGUUGGAUAAAACCGAUCAGUGCUGAAGCAAACGCGAUAAGUCUACCGCCUGGGGAGUACGGUCGCAAGAUUAAAACUCAAAGGAAUUGACGG